UCCGCCAGGGUGUUUCCCAGCACGACUCCGUAGGUGAACCUGCGGAAGGAUCAUUACCACACCAAAAAACACCCCACGUGAAUGUACUCUUUAUGAGGCUUGCGCUGCCCUUGUGGCGGCUAGCCGAAGGUUUCGCAAGAAGCCGAUGUCAAUUUGAAUCCUUUUUAAACUACGACUGAUCAAAACUGCAGAUAGAAAUGUCUGCAUGCAAUUGAAAUACAACUUUCAACAGUGGAUGUCUAGGCUCGCACACCGAUGAAGAACGCUGCGAACUGCGAUACGUAAUGCGAAUUGCAGAAUUCAGUGAGUCAUCAAAAUUUUGAACGCAUAUUGCACUUCCGGGUUAGUCCUGGGAGUAUGUUUGUAUCAGUGUCCGUGAACACAACCUUGUUUCAUUUCUUGAUUGAGAUGGAGCAGAAUGUGAAGGUCUUGUAAUUACAAGUCCUUUUAAACGACGGUACCUAUGCGUCCUCGUGAGAUGUAUUAUUUAAAGGUAUGCCUGCGCUUCUUUCGAGAGUUUUGUGUGGCGGCACACAGCAUUCAAAGAGAGAGCAAAUCGCGGUAGUUUUGCUUGUAUUUCGGUACGAGUGGACACAUAUUGCUUUUUGUGAUUUCUGCGAGUCUGUUGUUUAAGCACAGGACACGUAAGGAGAGUGAGUAUGCUGGUGCAUUUCUUGGCGCAUGGAGGCAAAUUGGGGAAUUCAAUCCAAUUUGGACCUGAUAUCAAACAAGACUACCCGCUGAACUUAGAGCAUAUCAAUUAAGCGGAGGACCUGUGUGAAAUGUAUAUCCGCUUCA
rnacentral:rRNA from 1 species